rnacentral:other from 1 species
GUAGCCCUGCUGUGUUCGUGAUUGCCGUACAGGUUUUGAGCCAACACCUAACAAAAUGGGGACCAUUUUUCCGGGCGUGAUGCGAUAGCCUUCGGGCAAGGCAGAGCGACUGGAUAGGUACCCACCUGCGAAAGCAGGUUCAAAACGCACCGGCACGCGGCAUGGCGGGGUGUGC